ACCAGUGUGGCGUAGUGGUUAGAGCACCAGACUAAGACCUGGGAGACCAGGGUUCGAAUCCUUGCUCAGCCAUGAUG